UUCGAGCAUUCUCUGUUGAAAAGUUGUUCCGUAAGGGCGUGCAUAAAUCUAAAAGUUCAGUUUCUGGAAAGUGCCAGAUAGUGAGUGAGCAACUCUUGGCAACAGAAGAGUUGCAAUACGCGUGCAAACCUGUUAUACAUACAUAGAUUGUAAUGAAAAUAUGUGAAGGCUGUGAAGAAGAGUGUGAUAUGAUGAGGACGAGCAAAUGGCCUUCGUGACAGAGCGAGUGGUAUGAGUCAUGAGCAACUGCUGUCAAUCAACGCUCACCUGAAGCCUUUGGUCCGGAAUUCACACUCGCUAAUUGUUCAUAGUAAGCGACAACAGAAAACGUUUUUAGUGGCUUGUGUAGCUGAGGGUUGCUUCGCACAAAGACGACACAUACAUACAUACGCAGUUUUCCUGCUCCUCGAAACGUUAAUGGCAACGAUGAGGAGGAACGGAACACUUGACAAACAGCAUGAGCAACCACAUCAAAACAGAAAAUAUUAAAUCGAUGGGCAAUGAAAUCGAUACCUACCUACCAACCUGCAUCAUCAAUCAAUCCGAUCGAUAAUCGUGUACUUGAUUUUCGUUUUAAUCACUGAGUGAGUCUUCACGUCUGUCCGUCUUCUACAUCCACAAUGGCAGCCAGUUGCACACCAGCCGAUCCUACACAGUUGGCCGAAACAGCAAACUAGCAGCGGCAGCAGCAGCAGCAAACACCACCGAGUCUCCCUUACCCAAAAUGCCAGAUGCAGCUGACAGAUAAAUGGGGACAAGGCGGAAUUGCGCGCGGCAGCAGCAGCUUGAGCUCAACAGCAAACACGUGUGUGUGCCUUAUGCUUCCGGGUCGGUUACCACCAUCACAACAAUCACUACCUACUAUACAUAAAGCGGUUAGCAGUUGCUGACGGCACCUACUACCACCACCAAUCCACACAGAUAUCUCUGCAUACACGCGGUAUUCGUAUAUCAGCUGCGAACGCAAAACAAUUACUUUUUAAAACAGAUUUACAGCAAAAGGAAAUCAUAGAAUGGAAUCUCUUCGUCUUCGUCGUGUCGUCGUCGUCAUUAUCUGCAGCUGCAGCAACUUCUCAGCAUCGUCGUAUUCUACUUAUCACUUCACUUCUUCACUUGAAUUUGGUGGCACGUAAGCCGUAUCGAUUUUUUCUUCUUGAUUAACUCUUGAAUUGCAGUUAAGAUAUACUAUGAAAUUCAAUGAACUCUCAUAUCCACACACUCCAUGAAGAGUGAGGGGCUGCACACUUAUCUACAGAUUGAUAGAGGAAUCGGCGGAGUUGGCGAACUAUCGUAUCGUAAUAUAGGAAGAAGUUUGAUAUUUGUUUGUCACUAUCGCUAUGUUUAGCAUAAAUACGUGGCCUUCAAUCUUUUUGUAGCGAUGCAUCACAGUUGAACAGUGCCUGUGAGCGUCUGGUUUCAUCAAUGGAAAGUCGCAUCCAUUCCUAGUCUGGUCUGACAGUAUAAGAUCAUGCAGCUUUAAGCGCCCGCCCUGUGGACACCUCUAAAACUUAGGACACAAAACAUUUCUUGUUUUUACAAAUAUUUUUUAGCGACGUGACGCAGUUGAACGGUGCCUGCGUGCGUCUGCAAGGAUAUGACCAUGAAUGAGCAAGCAAUACACAGACCAUCCAAUAUGUCCAAGCCAUCUUUUCUGUCAAAUCAAGUUGCACGUUUAGAAGUACGCCAGGAUUGCAAGUCGAGAUAAAGAGCUGGCCAAAAACGCGUAACGUGUUUCUUAUUACCUAACAAGAAAAAAUGUUGCGUUUGUUUCUCUUUUAGCAUGUUGGGCCAAUGGUCUGUUCGUUAAGAGCUGAAACCGAGAAACUAAUUUAUGAACGUUGAUGGAUGAUCAUAAUCAUAUUCAUAAUCCUGGAUAGCGUAAUUUUUACUAUUUCUACUCUUAAUUUGGCUCUUGUAGCCAGCCCAACUGUUUCGUAAACGUGUUUAUAUGAUUUCCAGCCAGGCGGCAAACUGAAAAUCUAAACGACAGUGAGGUGGACUUAUUGUCUUGGACAAUGGUCGGAGGAAUGAACCUAUAUCAAUAUAGCAGAAAGACGAAAGAAUCAAGCGUAAAUUUUGAGAUUAUGCCAAACAAAAAACAUUUCUUUUUGUAUUUUAUAGCAAUAUGACGCAGUUGAACGGUGCCUGCGCAUAUUGGAAGUUGUUAAUCCCAACAAAUAGGGUAAUACUUCUUGUAGUUGAAGCGAGGGAACGUCAUCUAAAGGAUUUUCAUGUAAAUUAUGCGAUUUCCUUUGUGCAAAAUUCUUCCUUUUUGUAUCUUGUAGCUAAGAACCGCAGUUGAAUGUGCCUGCGCAUAUCUGUCGGUAGCUUUCCAAGUGAUAGAGGAUAAAGAUGCCAUGUGUCGGCGAGGAAGUGAAGACUUUGUUCUUUACCUGGGGUCAUCCCCUUAAGACAUCAGCAACUAUAAAGGAUUUGUCACAGAAGUUUACUUUCUCUCUACUUUUACCUACAUCUUUCUCUCUAAGCAUGUCAUGUAUUAAUUACAGUGGCGUUUCUUGGUUGCUACCCUCCUGGAAAAAUUGCAAAGAAACCCGAAUACCUAUAGCAAAAUUCCUUGAGGCAAUGAGAAUGAAAAGCCAACUUGCAAGCAAUAUACACCUCGAGAGUUGACCAACAUCAUUCCGGUCGAUAGAUAACCCUGUGAACUGUGAAGGUCAGCCCGACACUGAAUACACCUUGAAUUGCUUAAAUAUGUUUUACAGCCUAAGAGAAAAGACGAUCUUCAAGUACUUGCAAGCUAAUACGUCCAUAAAAGCCAUCAUCACAUAUUACCAUCUCUAGAUCGAGGAUAGGCCUUCCUGCUUUAGUCACUUGGAACUCAAUUGACGACGUGAGAAAUUUGCUCGCUUACCAUUUUUGCUUUGCACUUUCACUUUUGCAGCGAUUUGUGAGGCAGUUGAAUGUGCUUAAUACUACUACAAAUUCCAUUUUGGGAACGCUCCGGAGGUACAAUAUGUACACACGAAUUCUAUUUAUUUUCCAACUCUACUAGCUCUCACACAACAAAAUCGUUAAAGGGAAUCAAAAACGAUACAUCAAGUUCAUCCAGCUAGGUACAGUCUUCAAACAAUGCCAGCACCACAACAACAAAAUGUAUAACAACUGCUCCCAGCUGCCUUUUGAUGGCCAAUGCGAGUCGAGAGUCGAGUCCAGCCAAAUAGCCUGCUGAAUCACAGAUACAGAUACAGAUCCAAGUAGAUCGUUUUGUACCUCGUACAAUUUAACGUUUUUACAUUACAGAAACGUAAGCUGCACGAUAUUGGGCAACGACGAUAGUCGUCUACUGGCUAAUGGCUAGUUGGUAGUUGAUGCACUCCAGCUCCUACGCACUAACGACCCGACCACUUGAACACAAGGAGCAGCCUCUGUUCCCCUAUUGAGGAGGCAUCACAGUCUAGCUCGGCCAAGACGAGGCUGGGUCAGCCUCAGUCCAGCACGUAAUGCAUUGCACCGCAUAGAAAUAUGCGCUCGGUCCGCGCUAAAGGGAAACAAAUGCGUUUGGACCGAGACCCGCCACACCACACAAUCACCAGCACUCGCUUAAGAGGCGAGCUGAUGUGUUGUCGUUGUUAUCGGGCAGCUGCCUGCAAGUACGCUACCGGCACUCAAGCAUCGUCGUCGUCGUCUUCAUGGUCGCCGUCGCCUCGUUCUCGCUUUCAGCAUUUUGUGCGCCCUGCAAGCCAAGUGUAUGUAUAUUGGUAGUAUAUAGUAGCAGCUAUGAAGCCUUAACGAUCCAACCUGAGGAAUUCGUGCUCGUGGCUUAUCGCAAAAGGGAAUCAAAUGCGACUAGUAUUCCAAGCAUCAGAUCAAAUCCUGUGCAGCAGCAGUCGCGACAGAUGGCAGCGAUCAAGAGAUCGAAGAACCGGCCAGACGGCGGUGGUGGUAUUCAACUGGUUCUAUAAUCUGUUGUGUAACUUAUCCGCUCACUCCCAUUUCUUAGGUCGCACAUAUUUUUAACAGAAUGUAACCCCCCCGGUAAUCAAUCAAAUCCAUCGCAAAGGGAAUCAAAUGCGAUUAGUGUUCGAUGACGAAGAAGCUAGCUAGUUGAACCAGCUCUACGCUACGCUUCGAUUUGCCAGUUGAGCGCUUAACUCCUGGUGCACCGUUCAGCAUUCCGCAAAUGGGAAACAAUUGCGAGGUGGUACUGCAGCAACGCACACACACACAGACACACUCACGCACACAUGCGGGAUUGCCUGCAUUGUGGCGGCCCAAAAACGAGCAUCCGAAUCCUCAAGAUGAAGAGCGCACCAUACAGCGAGCGAGUGAUCGAGCAAGCAGGCAGGCAGGGAAUCGAUGCCAGCAUCAAUUUGAAUAGCUGAUCCUUGUCCAUUUUGUUGUUGUUGUUGUUGGUGUGUACUUGUUUUUUCAGAUAACGACUUCCAACCUGGUCGACUGUCAGUCUGUCCAGCCAGCACACGUCAAGUUGUUCUCGAAGGGAAUCCAUGAGACACGCGCUUCAUUUAUAUUCCGUAUCUUGUUUUUGUAUUUUUUCCUUUUUUUUUUUUUCCUUUUUAUCUCAGUUUAUGUAUUUUAGAUCAUACGAUGAAGUAUGUAUCCUUCCAUGAUGAGGUACUGUCAAAAAUGAAAUUCUUCUGGUCUAUAGCCAUUGUCAACUAUAUUAAUGUAAAUUGUACAGCCAUGCAAAUGAGCUACUAUAACAUGUUACUUGUUAAAAAUUGUAUAAGUUUUCGAUACUGGUAUUGUAAGAUUGAAUUGUAUUUGUAUUAUUGUAAAACUGUGACAUGUACAUAUUAGUAUGGCUUAAGACACGUGGCAGGGACGACUCGUUCGUAGAUGAAUUCGACAGACGAGGAUCCCUGAUGAUGGCCUACUAUCCGCCCGUAAUGAGAGAGAGUGAAGGAGCGACUUGAAUGAAACAACUUCAUUUCUCUACGGGCCUACCCAUACCUUUGUCGUCUAUCGAUCUUCAGGGGCUUUUGCUGAGAGGGGACGGGACGGGACGAGACAAUCAACCGUUCAAAUUUGGCUGGCAGAGAUAGCUACAACUGGGCAAUCUAUUGAUUAUAACCUGAUCGACAAAAUUCAACCAUCCACCACCCCAUGUGCUGAGAUUGAAUCUCAUCCGAGCUUGGUUGUUUUUCUAAGUCGACUCAGAUAUCGUCGCAGCGCUUUUAAUCGACAUUUUCUUGUUGACGAGCUGGAGCGGCAAGGGUCCUUUUAAAUCAUCUUACGGCAUUGACGGCUUAUCACUAUACAAACACAUCUGCACGUACCUCUGGAGGUCUUCGUUAGGAGUAAAUCUUGAACUAGUUUGGGAACAUUUUCAUCUUUGUCACAACUGCAUCCAGUCCGAGGCAAAUAGGCAGAACUCAACCGAUUUCCAAGCCACAAUUCUACUACUAAUAUUGCGAAAAGAAAUCAUCAUUUUCAUCGACACGACCGCCUGCACAAUCACCUUUCUCUUCGUACGAUGGCUAGCAUAUAAACGCGUAGGACACUUUUUGAAUCUCUGUUUGGACAACUGCAACUUCAGCCUUAAGAAAUCUUGCUUCGCAUCUGUAACACACACACACAUUUCCCUGCAUUAGGGCUCGCUGGCAGCGAUAGGAACUUACUCUGGUCAUUUUAUUCUGCUACUCUGCUAAUUUCUUCUACUACUAUAACUGAUGAGAUGAGGCCGUUUAUUUUUGACGUUUUCUGAGAAGACAUCGUUUCGGGCAAUUAGGAUUUUUUUUGAGCAUUGAGAAUAUACUUUCUGAAAUUUUGGAACAACAUUUGAGCUACAUUAUGACGGCAGCGUGGGACUUAAGCUUUGACUGCGGCGUGGGAUACCAAUAGAACUGACGGCGGCGAGGGAUUCGCAAGUUUUCGGCGUGGGACCUUUAGGGAUUUGGUUAGGCGAGGGCGCUAGGUACAACACUUCUCUAGCAUUGAUGGGAGGGGCGGCGGUGAAUUGACUGCGGCGAGGGACUUUGCGGAGGACUUCGUGGGAUUUGCGAACUGACGGCGGCGAGGGAGUCUCGAGCGGGGACGGCUGCGUGGGAGGUCCUGACUGCGGCGAGGGAUUACCUGACGGCGGCGAGGGAGUUGCGCGACUGCGGCGUGGGAGCUUCGGACGGCGGCGUGGGAUUAUUUUGAAAUUGUACUACAUCGGGCUUUGUUUUUCUUUAUGAUCAUCGUCGGUAUUCCCCUAGCACCUAAGAACAUGAUACAAAUUAUACGUUCAAAGCUGAUAUACUUCCAUAAUUAGCUAUGCUCUACCUGUAUACCUACAACUGUCAUCUAUAUAGAAGGACUGAACGAUUUAGUGCUUAAUUGAACAUCAAUAACCUACAUCCCUUGACCUAAUAACCCCAUGAGUGGAGCCAAUCAUCAUAUCAACAUAUACUGUAUUAUAAAAACGUUCCUGGAAUACCGGAAAGCUAUAACACGAUGAUCCAGAUAAUCUAAUGUCAAUUAAAAUCGGAUUAUCUGCACAAUAAAUAUUGUUUGAAAAAAUGAAAAGAA